rnacentral:pre_miRNA from 1 species
AGUACAAUUGUUGGGUCAUGUGGUAAUACCUUUUGAGGAACUGACAGAUUGUUGUCCACAGUGGCUGCACCAUUUUACAUCCCACCAGCAGU